GAAUUCUCUGGUAUAUGUGCACUGUCUUCUUGAAAUCUUCAAUUCUAGUAUAUAACUUGAGCAUUGAAUUCCAUAUUGAAAGAUCUGGCUUGAAUCCAGCUUCCUCCAUUUCAGAAAGCAUGGCUUCAGCAUCCCUCACUUGUUUAGUUCUGGACAGUAACCCAAUUAUAACUCUAUAAAGAUGCAUGGUAGGUAAAUAUCCAGCAGCUCUCA
rnacentral:misc_RNA from 1 species